UUCCGGUUGAUCCCGCCGGACCCUACUGCUAUCGGGGUGGGACUAAGACAUGCGAGUCGAGCGUCUCUAGCUAUGUUGAGACGCGGCAUACGGCUCAGUAACACGUGGUUAACCUACCCUCAGGACAGGGACAAACCCGGGAAACUGGGGCUAAUACCAGAUAGGCGAGGACGCCUGGAAUGGUUCUUCACCAAAAAGACCUUGGAAACAUGCUUCCAAGUCGCCUGGGGAUGGGGCCGCGUCCGAUCAGGUUGUUGGUGAGGUAAUGGCUCACCAAGCCUAUAACCGGUACGGGCCGUGAGAGCGGUAGCCUGGAGAUGGGCACUGAGACAAGGGCCCAGGCCCUACGGGGCGCAGCAGUCGCGAAAACUCCGCAAUGCACGAAAGUGUGACGGGGCUACCCCGAGUGCCGUCCGCUGAGGAUGGCUUUUCCUCAGUGUAACUAGCUGGGGGAAUAAGGAGAGGGCAAGACUGGUGUCAGCCGCCGCGGUAAUACCAGCUCUCCGAGUUGUAGGGACGAUUAUUGGGCUUAAAGCGUCCGUAGCCGGCUUAGCAAGUCUCCUGUUAAAUUCAGCGACCUAAUCGUUGAGCCGCGGGAGAUACUACUAAG
rnacentral:rRNA from 1 species